AGAGUUUGAUCCUGGCUCAGGAUAAACGCUGGCGGCGUGCCUUAUGCAUGCAAGUCGAACGGGCGGUCGGCCUUCGGGUCGGCCGUCAGUGGCGGACGGGUGAGUAGCGCGUGGACGACCUGCCCCGGAGUGGGGAAUAACUGCCCGAAAGGGUGGCUAAUACCGCAUGCGGUGGUGCGUUCAUUCGCAUCACUAAAGCUCGCGAGGGCGCUCCGGGAGGGGUCCGCGUCCGAUUAGCUAGUCGGUGGGGUGACGGCCUACCGAGGCGAUGAUCGGUAGCUGGUCUGAGAGGAUGGUCAGCCACACUGGGACUGGGACACGGCCCAGACUCCUACGGGAGGCAGCAGCAAGGAAUUUUCCCCAAUGGGCGCAAGCCUGAGGGAGCAACGCCGCGUGGGGGAGGACGCCCUUCGGGGUGUAAACCCCUUUUGGGGGGGACGAAGACCUGACGGUACCCCCCGAAGAAGGCCCGGCUAACUACGUGCCAGCAGCCGCGGUAAUAC
rnacentral:rRNA from 1 species